rnacentral:snRNA from 1 species
UAUCUCUGGCUCCAUUGCAUUUAACCGAGAAAAUCUUUCGCCUUUUACUAAAGAUUUCCGUGCAAAGGACCAAUUAUGAGAAUACAAGAAUUUUUGCAAUCCCGUCGAGAGAGCGGGAU